GCCGCCGUAGCUCAGUGGUAGAGCGCGCCCUUGGUAAGGGCGAGGUCGACAGUUCAAUCCUGUCCGGCGGCACCA
rnacentral:tRNA from 1 species